ACGGAGGAUCCAAGCGUUAUCCGGAUUUACUGGGUUUAAAGGGUGCGUAGGCGGAUUGAUAAGUCAGUGGUGAAAGCCUACAGCUUAACUGUAGAACUGCCAUUGAUACUGUCAGUCUGGAGUAUGGUUGAGGUAGCUGGAAUGUGUCAUGUAGCGGUGAAAUGCUUAGAUAUUACACAGAACACCGAUGGCGAAGGCAGCAUACUGAGCCAUUACUGACGCUGAGGCACGAAAGCGUUGGGAUCAAACAG
rnacentral:rRNA from 1 species